rnacentral:rRNA from 1 species
GGAUCGACGGGUCGGUCGCGCCUCUGGUGUGUACUGGCCCUGUCGGUUUCUCCCUUCUGACGAACCACGAUGUCAUUAAUUUGAUGUCGUGGGAAAUCAGGACUGUUACUUUGAAAAAAUUAGAGUGUUUAAAGCAGGCAUUCGCUUGAAUACAUUAGCAUGGAAUAAUGAAAUAGGACGUUUGAUCUUAUUUUGUUGGUUUCUAAGAUCGACGUA